CUUCUACUUCACAGAAAGGCUCGGUGGUCUUAAAAAAACAAACCAAUAUUCUAAUGCAUUGGGAUAUUGUACUGAGAGUAUACAGUCACAAGAGGAAGCAAUGGCCAUCAACUUCAAUAGCUUUAGAAGAGGAUUAGACAAUUCCUUCAGGAAAGAGCUGUCAAUGACUACUAGCCAUGAUGGCUACACUCGGCCCACAUGCUCAGAUGCAGUAUGUUUCUGAAUACCAGUUGCUGGAAAGCACAGGAGGCACAUGCACUUUGGUCCUCAGGUCCUGCCUGUGGAUCUCCCACAGGCAUCUGGUUGGCUGCUGUGAGAACAUGAUGCUGAACUAGAUGGGCCUGAUCUAGCAGGCUCUUCUUAUGUUAAACUGAAACUGAACUAGUUUGGUGUUGGAGCCGCCCAUGGUUCCAACCAUGGGUAGAUAUUGCCAAUGCUCUUGUUCUCACUUUUCAGUACAGAAAUAAUGUGUGUUUUAUAAAACCACAGUAUUGUACCUCUUUAGUUACGUGAGAGCAAGUUAAAACUUCCAUGCCUUGCUCAAAUGUCACUUGAAGACAAUAACUCACUGAUCAUGAUACUGUUAAUGUCAGCUACCAGUUAUACUUUCAUGCAAUGACAGGCAUUGCAUUGCAGUCAUUGCAUUAAAGUAUUUGACAUCUCUACACAAACUGAUACACACUGAAAAUUCAUGUUUUCAUUUCAGCUUGAGACAAUAAUGGUACUGUCUCCAAGAGAGCUAUCUAGACUCGGAGGCAUACUAUUCUUUUUGUCCCUCUUGUGCAUAAAAAUGGCAUGCCUCUCGCUACUUGCAGGGCAGUAAGGUAGACAGUCAACGAGCUUCUCUUUGCUUAGUCAGAGAUGUUAUCCACACACACUGCUCCCACUGUAGCCUAGCCUCUGAAUAACAUUAUGAUUCAUGACUGACAACUUACAUCACUUUCAGAUGUUUAAAUUAUUUGCCAGUUAUUUACAAUUUUGGCACUUGAUGCCUUCAGAGGACUUUUUAGAAACUGAGUAAAUAUUGUAGUGUCUGUAUAUAAAUGUUAAACAUUCCAACUAAGUUCAGACAUAAAUCAAGUAGGUUUAAUUGCUUAUCAAUGUGCUGUCAAAAUUGUACUGUAAUUUACUGCUAAUAUUUCAGCUCCCGUUUUCAUAAUGUUUUUACGUUCUUAACUACAGUCAUGCAUAAAUAAUUACUUUUAGUUAAGAGAAGUACAACUAAAAUCCUUGUGAUGUCUCCAAAGUUAUAUUUCUGAUAUGUAAGAAUGCAGGAGACUGGAAAAUUCUAGCAUUAGUUACUGUUAUUCAUAAACUGAUAUUGUGGUUCAA